UGGAAAUAUUAAAAUAGAUCAAAAUUGAGAUCUUCAUUUUGCUUUGUAUUUUCUCUCUUCGAUCACGUCAAAAAGAAGCACAAAAUGGAUUUCAAUUAACGUCAAACAAAGAGUUUACGUAUAACGUGUCAACGUCAUAAUGGUUUCAAAUUCAUGGGGUAUAUCUGAGCAGAGCAAACGAAACAACGGAAAAAUAAUCCAAAGAGACGAUCACAAUCUUUUCAUAACUCUGAAAGAUAAUCAAGUAAAUUCACGUGGGUAGUGCGUGUGCGUCCCAAAGUUCAUACGAAUGAAAACGUAGUUUUCGAAGCAUGGAAUUGACGCGUAGCUGGACCAAGAGGAAGGAGCAAGACGAAGAGACCAGAAGAGACUGUUUUCAGAAUUGAAUGCGAUAUAACUAGAGGAUGAACACGGGCGCUUCGAAUGGCUGAUACGCGCAGGCGCCUUUAGCCGAUAAAAAAUCGCUUCUACCCCACUUCCACGACCGUGCUUGCUAGUUUGUAUGCUUUGGAUUUAUAUUAGUAUAUGAGUAUUGCAAAUAAGAAGCAUGAACACUGCGUACUCGCCAGUCACUGCUGACGUAGAGUCAGGGUCUUCGUAUUUUACCAGAAAUUUGCAGCAGGCUAACAUAAAUUAUGGGCGUUUUUCUCGCCAUGAUAAUAAGAAUGGAAAAGACACCAAAUGGAAUUACUAAUCUAGCAUGUGUCUAAUUAUUCAUCAAUACGAAACAGAUAUUUGAUUGAGAAUCAUACAAGUUCUAUGUUUCUGUAGACUUUAUCCUUCAUGACAUGGCUCGUUUGUGAAAGAGUGGAAAAAACAUUCCAAAGUAUGAUCUAUUGGGAUCUAUGUAUUUCUGAAUAUUUGUAAUAUCUUUGACCGUUUAAUUGGAAUCUCUUCAAUUAGCUGACACUUAUGAAUAUAUGUGCCGAAAUUUAGCAGGGGCCCCUAGAAAACAGGUUUGUUGUUCUUAUCAUUGGGUCAUAACUUGAUGAAUACAAGCAAUUUCAUUAUACUUUCUAUCCCAUCGAAAUUAUUGCAUGAAUAAAAUUGCAAAACUCUACUGAGCAAAGAUUUCGUAUAGGCUUACGGCUAUAUACGGCGGGCGAUUAACGAGAGUGCAUAUAUUAACACAGGUAUAUAUGAUAUUUUCGGAGGUAUUUCGCCAAUAAAAGUUAUGUUACCAUUAAUAAAAGAACAAAAAAAGAAUCAAGCUAACUAUAAACAUAGUAUGGUUAUUUGAAACGAAAAAGAAAAUAUAAUUCUUCUGUUGAUACACUGAAAUGUUACAAAGUUGUGAAUCUCUACCAACAAUGUUGUUUCACAAUUCAAGUUCGAACCCAAUUCGAGAUUAGGAUAAUUCUCGAAAGUUUCGUAAACAGAAUUUUUUCUAGCUUUGGGCUACUGAUACAAAAAAACGUUUCGGUAAUCGUACGUUGCCGAAAGGUUGAUAAAAAAAAUAUCGCACACUUCAAAGCGAUGCAGCAAGACAAGAGAGAAAGUUUCUUGAAUUAGACCGAAUACUAGACUUUUUUAGACUUCUCAGGACAAAUCAAGUUUCGCGUAAAGCAAGAUGAAGAAAAAACAAGGAAAAUGAAUAUGAAAGACUAAAAUGAAAUGAUGAGAAAAUUGCUCAACAUUAAUCCUUACGUGGAGAUUCGAAGAAACUGUCGCGUAAUAAUUUCACUGUACCAAUUAAAAUUGGCGCGAAUCGGAGAUAUCAAAUGGAAAUGGAUAGAUAGAUGCAAUCUCAAAAUGAAAACGAUUCGCGGUGUAGUUUUGUUAAAACGAAAUGACGCAUCAUUCGAGAAAAUCUUUGUCCCACGUGUUGGUGGUCGUCCAAAAAAAAUUCUUGUUCGCCGACCAUUCAAACUCUCUUUUUUCCCCAUCCGUAGCUAUACCAACAAUAAGAUUGCAGAUCGAAAUAGCUGUUAGGAGAGUUCAAUGCCACGUUGUCUGCAUAAAAACUUCAACAAUUUAGACUAGGAAAAAACGUAAAUAUAAAAUAAACGCUUUAUACUAUUUUAGUGUUUUUAGGAAUAUCAGCAAACAACAAGUUAUUAAACUCUCGGUUGUUAUUGCCGCGAAAUCAAAUGAAUAAACAUAUCAAUAAACUUUAUAUCAAAUUUCCAAUUUGUACGUCAAUGAAUAUAACUUCAAGGAAAAUAACAUUGCAACUUACAAUUAGAAAACGAAUGAAUGAGUUGGACUUUAUUUCCAGUGAAAGAGACAAGUCAUCUCACAGGAAAUAUAAUUCUCCUCACUCUCUUUCUACAGUCGUGCAAACGCACAGGAUGACAUGGUCAUAAUUGCAAUUGGUAUUUAUUUUUAUUUUGAUCAGUAUUCUGUCUAUACCAUUUCAUGAAACGUCAUGAUCAAGAGUUGAAAAAAUUUGCUAAUGUGCAAAGAAAGCGUCUCAAGGUUGAUUCUACGUAUCGUAGUUUAUUAAAAUUAUUGCUUCAACUGAAUGAAAAUGAAUAAAUAAUAUU